rnacentral:rRNA from 1 species
AGAAUCAACGCUGGCGGCGUGCCUAACACAUGCAAGUCGAACGAGAAAGUGGAGCAAUCCAUGAGUAAAGUGGCGACCGGGUGAGUAACACGUGACUAACCUACCUUCAAGUGGGGGAUAACCUCGGGAAACCGGGGCUAAUACCGCAUAACAUCUUUGGAGUGGAAAUUCUGGAGAUCAAAGGAGCAAUUCGCUGGAAGAGGGGGUCGCGGCUGAUUAGCUAGUUGGCGGGUAAUGGCCCACCAAGGCUUUGAUCGGUAG